CGGAAUGCUUUACACAUGCAAGUCGAACGGCAGCACGGGUGCUUGCACCUGGUGGCGAGUGGCGAACGGGUGAGUAAUGCGUCGGAACGUGCCGAGUAAUGGGGGAUAACGCAGCGAAAGUUGUGCUAAUACCGCAUACGCCCUCCGGGGGAAAGCAGGGGAUCGCAAGACCUUGCGUUAUUCGAGCGGCCGACGUCUGAUUAGCUAGUUGGUGGGGUAAAGGCCUACCAAGGCGACGAUCAGUAGCGGGUCUGAGAGGAUGAUCCGCCACACUGGGACUGAGACACGGCCCAGACUCCUACGGGAGGCAGCAGUGGGGAAUUUUGGACAAUGGGGGCAACCCUGAUCCAGCCAUUCCGCGUGAGUGAAGAAGGCCUUCGGGUUGUAAAGCUCUUUCAGCUGGAGUGAAACGGUUCGCUCUAACAUAGCGAGCUAAUGACGGUACCAGCAGAAGAAGCACCGGCUAACUACGUGCCAGCAGCCGCGGUAAUACGUAGGGUGCGAGCGUUAAUCGGAAUUACUGGGCGUAAAGCGUGCGCAGGCGGAUUGUUAAGCAAGACGUGAAAUCCCCGGGCUUAACCUGGGAAUGGCGUUUUGAACUGGCAGUCUAGAGUGCGUCAGAGGGGGGUGGAAUUCCACGUGUAGCAGUGAAAUGCGUAGAGAUGUGGAGGAACACCAAUGGCGAAGGCAGCCCCCUGGGAUGACACUGACGCUCAUGUACGAAAGCGUGGGUAGCAAACAGGAUUAGAUACCCUGGUAGUCCACGCCCUAAACGAUGUCAACUGGUUGUUGGGGGAGUGAAAUCCCUUAGUAACGAAGCUAACGCGUGAAGUUGACCGCCUGGGGAGUACGGUCGCAAGAUUAAAACUCAAAGGAAUUGACGGGGACCCGCACAAGCGGUGGAUGAUGUGGAUUAAUUCGAUGCAACGCGAAAAACCUUACCUACCCUUGACAUGUCCAGAACCCUGAAGAGAUUUGGGGGUGCUCGAUAGGGAAUUGGAACACAGGUGCUGCAUGGCUGUCGUCAGCUCGUGUCGUGAGAUGUUGGGUUAAGUCCCGCAACGAGCGCAACCCUUAUCAUUAGUUGCUACGCAAGGGCACUCUAAUGAGACUGCCGGUGACAAACCGGAGGAAGGUGGGGAUGACGUCAAGUCCUCAUGGCCCUUAUGGGUAGGGCUUCACACGUCAUACAAUGGUCGGUACAGAGGGUUGCCAAGCCGCGAGGUGGA
rnacentral:rRNA from 1 species